AUUGAACGCUGGCGGCAUGCUUUACACAUGCAAGUCGAACGGUAACAGGCCGCAAGGUGCUGACGAGCGGCAAACGGGUGAGUAAUGCAUCGGAACGUGCCCAGUCGUGGGGGAUAACGCAGCGAAAGCUGCGCUAAUACCGCAUACGAUCUAUGGAUGAAAGCGGGGGACCGUAAGGCCCCGCGCGAUUGGAGCGGCCGAUAUCAGAUUAGGUAGUUGGUGGGGUAAAGGCUCACCGAGCCAACGAUCUGUAGCUGGUCUGAGAGGACGACCAGCCACACUGGGACUGAGACACGACCCAGACUCCUACGGGAGGCAGCAGUGGGGAAUUUUGGACAAUGGGCGCAAGCCUGAUCCAGCAAUGCCGCGUGCAGGAAGAAGGCCUUCGGGUUGUAAACUGCUUUUGUACGGAACGAAACGGUCUGGGUUAAUACCUCGGGCUAAUGACGGUACCGUAAGAAUAAGCACCGGCUAACUACGUGCCAGCCGCCGCGGUAA
rnacentral:rRNA from 1 species